CGCAAAGCUACACAGAGAAACCCUGUCUCGAAAAACCAAAAAAAAAAAGAAGUAAGGGUGGAGCACGCUUAAAUAUGGAGAUGAGAGCUCCAUGUCGGUCAGGCAUUUCAGUCACAACGAUGUCAGCGUAGCUACUGCAUAGACACGGUAGUCAUGCAGAGGUGACUGGGGCAAGAGGUGAAGUUUGAAGUGAUUUACACUCAGGGAAAGACUAAAGAUCAAGGAUGGCCAAGGCUGCACUGAGCUAGAGUGACAUGAAGUCUCUGGAGUCAAUGGAUUCGAAAACGAAGCCAUCUUCAAAGACAUUUCUAGAUCUCGAUAGGAGACAUGGAAGCAGAGUGGAAAGAGCCAGAGAAGAGGGAGAGAUUAAAGAUGCUAAGCGAAGAACGAGGUCCUGACAGCGUGUCUGCAGAAGGAAUAGGAACAGUGUUGUUCUCUACAGGAAGAAGAGUCCUUCCCAGCAAAGAAGGAUAGAGGGAGUGCAUUCGUGUGGACAGGGGCCUGAGGUUACAAGCACUCUGUAAUUUCAGACAGGAAAAGGCUUGGGUCAAAAUGCAAUUAGAAGCCAGUGAAGAGAGCUCAAAGGGAUCGUCAGCUGCCAAGUGAGAGAAUUGUCAAUUCAGUCAUCCCUUCGUAAAGUACCUGGGGCCACACCUUUCCAACUGUGCCUUGGUGAUAUCGUGAUGGUUCAGCAAUGGAGACCCAAGGGCACUUGCAACCUACUUGAAGUGACUCAGUUUCUACGGUGCGACAUUCCAUAGGCUGGUAACUCCACUCGCUCAGAAGCCCGGAUGUGGAAUGAGACUCUAUCACUUCAUCAGUCCCUUUGAGACAAUCUACAUACGAAGUCCAGCCACGACAAUCAGACAAAUCUCACAGCCAUCGCAGAUGUCCCUUAGCUGCAGCUACCACAGCAAAUGGCUGUUGUGCACCCAAACCUCAGCCACCAGUGAACAAAGCUGCCAGCUCUUCAUUGUCACCACUGCCACAAACCAGGAACGUCAGGUUCAAAGGUACAGAUUUCCACUGCAUCCCGGGAUGACGUUCCUCUCUGCACGGCCACAGAAUACCUAGUUUUUCUGGCAGCAAGAGGGGAGAUGAUGAACUUGGCCUGAGCAACUGGAACUAAAGACAGCAGUAGGUGCUCUCCUGUUGUUUGGUCCUGCCCUGGGUCUUGAAGGGAUGGGGGAGGUGCUAGGUGGCCGCCCUGUCCAAACCUGGAAGGCAUCCUUUAGGACGCCUGGGAGGGAAACGAGGCAGUGAGAGCACCCAGACACAGACACACAGGCAAGGAUGGCUCCCACUCAGACCACACCCCGACUCCGGCAUCUUCAGCUGCUCCCUUGCAGUGGCCGGGAUUUUCUUUUCUAAACACUCUUAGUACCUGCAGCUUCUGCUAAUGGGAAAUUUUAGGAAUAAAGAGGUUAUUAAUUUGUAAGUGCAGAAGAAAAUGAAUGCAUUCCAAGGAGGAUCCUGAGGACAGGAGUGUUAGCAGCUCAUUUCAGAGGUCCCCGGUUACAGAGGGCUUUCUGCGCACUUAUUUUUAAAUUAUCCCACCUUCAGGGGAAACUUCAAGGUUGGGACACGAUGUGAAAUUUAUCUGCAGUGUGACAGCUCUGAA